rnacentral:rRNA from 1 species
CAGUAGCCACGGGAAUACGGAGGGUGCAAGCGUUAAUCGGAAUUACUGGGCGUAAAGCGUGCGUAGGUGGUGGUUUAAGUCCGUUGUGAAAGCCCUGGGCUCAACCUGGGAAUUGCAGUGGAUACUGGGUCACUAGAGUGUGGUAGAGGAUAGUGGAAUUUCCGGUGUAGCAGUGAAAUGCGUAGAGAUCGGAAGGAACAUCUGUGGCGAAGGCGACUAUCUGGGCCAACACUGACACUGAGGCACGAAAGCGUGGGGAGCAAACAGGAUUAGAUACCCGCGUAGUCCCUGUCUCUUAUAC